GCAAAACAAAGCAUUCACAUAGAAAAACAUUUGGCAUCUUCUACCAAUUCUCAUCAAUUCAGCAUUGUGAUCAUUAUCAAUGCAUAUCCACCAACCCAAGAAACAAUCAUCAAAUGUAAAAUGAGAACCUCCCACAAACGAAAAUCAAUUGUGGAUUUCAGAAGCUCCUAGGCAAUGAAACUAGAUAUAAUAAUACACCAGGCGCACUUAAAUGAUAACAGAACUAAGGAGCGAGGUUUGCUUUUCCAAUGCAUCCGAACAAUGAAUCUGCUACAUAAUUUGUGGAAAUCCUAGAAACCAUACACGUACAAUAAUCACCUAUAUGAAUCUGGACGUUUUGGCCUGCUUUGAACAACAGCCUCUAUCUUCUCCAUCACAGCAGGAGUCAACAAGGGGAUGACGUCAAAGGCUUUCAUGUUCUCUUGAAUCUGAGACUCCUUUGUAGCACCAGUAAUAACUGAUGACACAUUUGGAUUAGCAGCACACCAUGCAAUUGCAAGUUGAGAUAAAGGCACACCCAGUUCGUCAGCAAUUGGCUUCAGUCCGCUAACCUUUUUAAGAACAUCAUCAACCAGUGACCGGCUAGCAAGAUUUUUGUAAUUUUCCAGUGCAAACCGGCUAUCAGAAGGUAUAGUUCCCUUGUUGUACUUUCCAGUAAGCACCCCAGAUGCAAGUGGACUCCAUGUGGUGAGACCCAGGCCAUAGUUGGUGUACAGAGGGAGGUACUCUGACUCAACCUGUAUCCAUACAAGAUACAAGUAAAUCAUAAACCAAAAAGAUCGAGACUUAUAAAUCUGACGUAGAUAUAUAAAACAAAACCAAGUUCUUAUGGUUAAACCCAGAGCUGAAAAUUAUUUCUUAUUACCACUAUAAAAGAUACAUAAAUGAAGACGUGGCAAUUGACAAGAAAUUUCACUUAUAAGGCAAAUCAAGGAAAAAUUGAAGAGAGAAUGUUUAUAAAUUACCUAUUUGUCUAGAAAUAAAGAAUAACUGUAACUAAUACCAAAAUUUGGCCAUUUCAUCUCAUUGCAAAACAUGUUCCAAAUAAUGACAUAAAAAGUCACUUCCCUUGGAAAGUUCAAAGUUGUAUAUUUUUCCAAGGGAAUCUAAAGAUUCAUCAGCGACAAGAUCCAAAACCGCCAGAAGCUUUCAAAGAGUAGGCAGCUCCUGAAGCUUACAUGAUUUGUUUGGCACUGCAGUUGCAACUGCUUCGUUAAAAACCAACCACAACUGCAAUGUCAACACCCCUCAAACAUCCUUUUUUUUUUCUUUUUUUCCUUUGCCGCUGCUGCUUUUUUAUUUGAACUAUCAAUGACAAAUCUGCACCAUCCCCAGAAUUUUCUUUCUCAAGGGAAUAUUUUGCAUCCAACCUUAGGCCUAAAGUGGUAGGUGAAAUAGACAUAAAACUUUCAACUAAAAAACCAAAAACCACUAUCAGAACCUUUUAUUCUAGACCAACAUAGUAUAUAUAAUUAUAAAGAACCUUUAUAAAAGACCAAAAAGGAGGGGUUUCAAGUGUUUUAAUAUAUGAAAUAGAAAAUGAAUUGCUGCUCAAAGCAACUGUGCCUUCAGAAAAAAUGCCAUCCCAUAUUUCUCAUAUCCCAAAACACAAUUCCUUGCUACUUCAGGUGAAUUCAUUGAAUUUGGAAAUUCUUCAGGAGGAAUGUGUUUGGCUAAUUUCUUCCAAAAGAGAACCAUAAGAACAGCCAAACAAACUAUUCAUAUCAAGUGCAGGUGCAGCUAAAACGAUCUUUGCAUAUAGAAUAGAAGACAAGCUAAGUUAACCCAAAAAACUCCUUAACCCAUUUCCUUCAAACAGAAAAAAAUACUAAUAUGUGAGAACUGUAUGAAAGACAUUUUUCAGUACCAAAAACAAAAAUCAAAUGUUUAAAUUUUGAAUGUAAAGAAAAAUCAAUCACCUUGUGUCUGGAGAGUAAAUUAUACUCUGGCUGCUCCACAAUGGGCCCCACCAAGUCCAAUCUUUCUGCAAUGCCCCAUGCUUCAGUGAUCUGCUGUGCUGACCACUCACUAGUCCCCCAAUAAAAUGCCCAACCCUUAUCAAUCACAUAAUUCAUUGCCCUUACUGUUUCUUCAAUUGGUGUUGAGGAGUCUGGCCGGUGACAGUAAAUCAAAUCAACAUAAUCCAUAUCCAGCCUCUUGAGCGAAGCUUUGGUGCCUUCUACAAUAUGUUUCCUGGACAAGCCCCUAUCGUUAGGACCGGAACCUCCCCAGAAGAUCUUAGUAGAGACAACAAUAUCAGAGCGCUUCCAUCCAAGCUCACGGAUCGCUUGACCCAUGAUCUCCUCGGCCCUUCCAUUGGCAUAAACCUCAGCGUUAUCAAAGAAGUUAACACCGUGGUCACGGCAGCACUGCAAGAGGGACUUGGCCUCCUUGACGUCGAGCUGAUUGCCGAAGCUGACCCAGGAGCCAUAAGAGAGCUGGCUGACCUUGAGGCCUGAGCGACCGAGGUUAUUGUAAUGCAUUUUGGGGGUAGGUAGAGAUAGAUGGGGAUGGACUAAUCGGUGACUGUGAGGGAUGUUAACAAAAAUGAAGGCAGUUUGGUGUGUAGACUCUGUAGAGAUGAAACAGCGGAGUUCAAAGUGAGGCUGAAGAGAAAUGUUUGUGUGUUGUUGGUUUAUGUGGAGCUCGGUUUAAUCAGCACGUGGAUUGGUGCUGUGAUCU
rnacentral:misc_RNA from 1 species